UACAGGGGGGGCAAGCGUUGUUCGGAAUUACUGGGCGUAAAGGGCCAGUAGGCGGCCAACUAAGUCCGACGUGAAAUCCCCAGGCUUAACCUGGGAACUGCGUCGGAUACUGGAUGGCUUGAAUUCGGGAGAGGGAUGCAGAAUUCCAGGUGUAGCGGUGAAAUGCGUAGAUAUCUGGAGGAAUACCGGUGGCGAAGGCGGCGUCCUGGACCGACAUUGACGCUGAGCGGCGAAAGCUAGGGGAGCAAACGGG
rnacentral:rRNA from 1 species